rnacentral:misc_RNA from 1 species
CCCUUUAAUGUAGGGAUUGAGAUUUCAACACUUCUCUUCAAGUUGGUUCAUAUAUAUUACACAUGCCUAACUAGCAAACUAGAGAAUGAAACAUUUUGCUGCUAAGUCCCUUGGUGAACACAUCAGCAAACUGAUCUUUAGAAGUCACAUGAGAGACACUCAAUGAUCCAUCUAUAAUUUUUUCCUUUAUGAAGUGUUGAUCAAUUUCCAUAUGUUUGGUUCGAUUAAGCUGUACUGGAUUGUGGACAAUAUUGAUAACGACUUUGUUAUUACAAAACAAGUAUAAACUAUUUGUUUCUAAGAGUUUCAUAUCUUCCAUUAACUUUCGUAACCACACAAUUCAUAGACACCUUGAGCCAUAUGGCUCUAUAUUCAGCAUCUGCACUGAAUCUAGCAGUCACACUUUGUUUCUUACUUCUCCAAGUGACCAAGUUACUACCAAUAAAGAUACAAUAACCCGUUGUUGCCGUUCUAUCAUUAAGAGAUCAAGUC